UACAGAGGGUGCAAGCGUUGUUCGGAAUUAUUGGGCGUAAAGGGCGCGUAGGCGGUUCGGCAAGUCUCUAGUGAAAUCUCAGGGCUCAACUCUGAGUCUGCUGGGGAAACUGCCGGGCUUGAGUGUGGGAGAGGAGAGUGGAAUUCCCGGUGUAGCGGUGAAAUGCGUAGAUAUCUGGAGGAACACCGGUGGCGAAGGCGGCAUCCUGGACCGAUACUGACGCUGAGGAGCGAAAGCCAGGGGAGCAAACGGG
rnacentral:rRNA from 1 species